CGAAGUCACGUGACCACAACAGAUCCGGACACUGCUGCACUCCAGCCAGACAGUCAGCAGCAGCAGCACUACAGGAACGGAGAACUGAGAGAGCCAGAUACUAGAGGGAGCGACACCUGGGGGCUGAUGCUGAUCCUUCCCAGCUGGUGAAGGGGAGAACCUUAUAAAUGGGGGGUCCUCUCUGACAGCGUUAGACAAGUGCAGGAAGAGUCCGAUGUCACUAUAUUACAGGAGAAAGGGACUUUCCUGAGCAGAGAGCAGGGUCUCUGAAACUCAGCUUGCGGACUACGAUGGAGCUGCCAUGGCAAUGCCCGAUGUGAGGGUGCACAACCAAUAGGGCCCCAUGUGAUGCCACUGAAAGGAUUCUGGGAUGAAUGUUAGUACUAUUUUUUUUCAAAUUUAAAUAACAUGAAAAGAAUAGAACACUUGUGCAGAGAGAUCCCCUGUGUCCCCCGAGAGCUGGUCAUAUAGAUUGUACUUUGGGAGAGAGGCAGGUGUAACAUGUAAGUGGAAGAUAUGGGACAAUGACUGUAUAACAUGUACAGUAUUAGAAUCCAUAGUAUAAUAUCACAUUAUUAUACUAUUGUUAUAUUGUAACUAUAUACUUACCCAUGGGCGAUGCCCUUGGAAUGCAGGAAUUGCAGCCCACAUACAAUCUCUGCACUGUAGAAUCUGUUAGAUAGAAAACAAGUUAAUGUUACAUUGUUAGGAUGGCUCCCCUUCCCUUUCAGAAUCCAUUUCAAGCUUCUAACACUCACUUACAAAGCCCUCACCCACUCCUCUCCCAUCUACAUCUCUGACCUUAUCUCCCUUUACAAUCCCACCCGUCCUUUUUGCUCUGCUAAUGCACUUCGACUCUCCUGCCUAUUACUUAUUUCCUCCCACUCCUACCUCCAAGAUUUUUCAUGUGCUGCUCCAUUUCUCUGGAAUUUCCUACCUCUGCCCCUCAGACUCUCCACCUCUCUACAAAAUUUCAAAUGGGCUCUCAAGACCCACUUCUUCACCAAUCCCAGCCAAAUCUCAUCCUAACCCUCUGUUUCAUGCUCUCUAUGUACCCCAUUUGUGUCACCCCUGUCUGUCUACCCCUCCCCUUUAGAAUGUAAGCUCUCACGAGUAGGGCCCUCUUCCCUAAUAUGCUUAUCCUUUUUCUUAGUUUAAUAAUCUUCAACUGCACCAAAUCCAGCAGUCUUCUGCCACCUGAUCCUUAUUCCAGUGUAAUCUGCUGAUGUACCUAUGUUUAUUUACCCUGUACUUGUCCUAUAUAGUUGUCAACUGUAAGUUGCUGUUUUCCUGUUUUAAUUAUUUGUUUAUGUACUCUGUAAUUGGGCACUGCGGAACCCUUAUAGCGCCAUAUAAAUAAA